AACGAACGCUGGCGGCAUGCCUAACACAUGCAAGUCGAGCGACAUCUUCGGGUCUAGUGGCGCACGGGUGCGUAACGCGUGGGAAUCUGCCCUUUGGUUCGGAAUAACAGUUGGAAACGACUGCUAAUACCGGAUGAUGACGAAAGUCCAAAGAUUUAUCGCCAGAGGAUGAGCCCGCGUAGGAUUAGCUAGUUGGUGUGGUAAAGGCGCACCAAGGCGACGAUCCUUAGCUGGUCUGAGAGGAUGAUCAGCCACACUGGGACUGAGACACGGCCCAGACUCCUACGGGAGGCAGCAGUGGGGAAUAUUGGACAAUGGGCGAAAGCCUGAUCCAGCAAUGCCGCGUGAGUGAUGAAGGCCUUAGGGUUGUAAAGCUCUUUUACCCGGGAUGAUAAUGACAGUACCGGGAGAAUAAGCUCCGGCUAACUCCGUGCCAGCCGCCGCCGUAACAC
rnacentral:rRNA from 1 species